rnacentral:rRNA from 1 species
UACGUAGGGUGCAAGCGUUGUCCGGAAUUAUUGGGCGUAAAGAGCUCGUAGGCGGCUUGUCGCGUCUGCUGUGAAAACCCGNGGCUCAACCUCGGGCGUUGUCAGUGGGUACGGGCAGGCUAGAGUGCGGUAGGGGAGAUUGGAAUUCCUGGUGUAGCGGUGGAAUGCGCAGAUAUCAGGAGGAACACCAAUGGCGAAGGCAGAUCUCUGGGCCGUAACUGACGCUGAGGAGCGAAAGCAU